rnacentral:rRNA from 1 species
GGGCGCACGGUGGAUGCCUUGACACUAGGAGUCGAUGAAGGACGGGACUAACGCCGAUAUGCUUCGGGGAGCUGUAAGUAAGCUUUGAUCCGAAGAUUUCCGAAUGGGGAAACCCACCAUACGUAAUGGUAUGGUAUCCUUAUCUGAAUACAUAGGAUAAGGAAGACAGACCCAGGGAACUGAAACAUCUAAGUACCUGGAGGAAGAGAAAGCAAAUGCGAUUUCCUGAGUAGCGGCGAGCGAAACGGAACAUAGCCCAAACCAAGAGGCUUGCCUCUUGGGGUUGUAGGACAUUCUAUACGGAGUUACAAAGGAACGAGGUAGACGAAGCGACCUGGAAAGGUCCGUCGUAGAGGGUAACAACCCCGUAGUCGAAACUUCGUUCUCUCUUGAAUGUAUCCUGAGUACGGCGGAACACGUGAAAUUCCGUCGGAAUCUGGGAGGACCAUCUCCCAAGGCUAAAUACUCCCUAGUGAUCGAUAGUGAACCAGUACCGUGAGGGAAAGGUGAAAAGCACCCCGGAAGGGGAGUGAAAGAGAUCCUGAAACCGUGUGCCUACAAAUAGUCAGAGCCCGUUAACGGGUGAUGGCGUGCCUUUUGUAGAAUGAACCGGCGAGUUACGAUCCCGUGCGAGGUUAAGCUGAAGAGGCGGAGCCGCAGCGAAAGCGAGUCUGAAUAGGGCGUUUAGUACGUGGUCGUAGACCCGAAACCAGGUGAUCUACCCAUGUCCAGGGUGAAGUUCAGGUAACACUGAAUGGAGGCCCGAACCCACGCACGUUGAAAAGUGCGGGGAUGAGGUGUGGGUAGCGGAGAAAUUCCAAUCGAACCUGGAGAUAGCUGGUUCUCCCCGAAAUAGCUUUAGGGCUAGCCUUAAGUGUAAGAGUCUUGGAGGUAGAGCACUGAUUGGACUAGGGGUCCUCAUCGGAUUACCGAAUUCAGUCAAACUCCGAAUGCCAAUGACUUAUCCUUAGGAGUCAGACUGCGAGUGAUAAGAUCCGUAGUCAAAAGGGAAACAGCCCAGACCGCCAGCUAAGGUCCCAAAGUGUGUAUUAAGUGGAAAAGGAUGUGGAGUUGCUUAGACAACUAGGAUGUUGGCUUAGAAGCAGCCACCAUUUAAAGAGUGCGUAAUAGCUCACUAGUCGAGUGACUCUGCGCCGAAAAUGUACCGGGGCUAAAUACACCACCGAAGCUGCGGAUUGAUACCAAUGGUAUCAGUGGUAGGGGAGCGUUCUAAGGACAGUGAAGUCAGACCGGAAGGACUGGUGGAGUGCUUAGAAGUGAGAAUGCCGGUAUGAGUAGCGAAAGACGGGUGAGAAUCCCGUCCACCGAAUGCCUAAGGUUUCCUGAGGAAGGCUCGUCCGCUCAGGGUUAGUCAGGACCUAAGCCGAGGCCGACAGGCGUAGGCGAUGGACAACAGGUUGAUAUUCCUGUACCACCUCUUUAUCGUUUGAGCAAUGGAGGGACGCAGAAGGAUAGAAGAAGCGUGCGAUUGGUUGUGCACGUCCAAGCAGUUAGGCUGAUAAGUAGGCAAAUCCGCUUAUCGUGAAGGCUGAGCUGUGAUGGGGAAGCUCCUUAUGGAGCGAAGUCUUUGAUUCCCCGCUGCCAAGAAAAGCUUCUAGCGAGAUAAAAGGUGCCUGUACCGCAAACCGACACAGGUAGGCGAGGAGAGAAUCCUAAGGUGUGCGAGAGAACUCUGGUUAAGGAACUCGGCAAAAUGACCCCGUAACUUCGGGAGAAGGGGUGCUUUCUUAACGGAAAGCCGCAGUGAAUAGGCCCAAGCGACUGUUUAGCAAAAACACAGCUCUCUGCGAAGCCGUAAGGCGAAGUAUAGGGGGUGACACCUGCCCGGUGCUGGAAGGUUAAGGAGAGGGGUUAGCGUAAGCGAAGCUCUGAACUGAAGCCCCAGUAAACGGCGGCCGUAACUAUAACGGUCCUAAGGUAGCGAAAUUCCUUGUCGGGUAAGUUCCGACCCGCACGAAAGGUGUAACGAUUUGGGCACUGUCUCAACCAGAGACUCGGUGAAAUUAUAGUACCUGUGAAGAUGCAGGUUACCCGCGACAGGACGGAAAGACCCCGUGGAGCUUUACUGUAGCCUGAUAUUGAAUUUUGGUACAGUUUGUACAGGAUAGGCGGGAGCCUUUGAAACCGGAGCGCUAGCUUCGGUGGAGGCGCUGGUGGGAUACCGCCCUGACUGUAUUGAAAUUCUAACCUACGGGUCUUAUCGACCCGGGAGACAGUGUCAGGUGGGCAGUUUGACUGGGGCGGUCGCCUCCUAAAGUGUAACGGAGGCGCCCAAAGGUUCCCUCAGAAUGGUUGGAAAUCAUUCGUAGAGUGCAAAGGCAUAAGGGAGCUUGACUGCGAGACCUACAAGUCGAGCAGGGACGAAAGUCGGGCUUAGUGAUCCGGUGGUUCCGCAUGGAAGGGCCAUCGCUCAACGGAUAAAAGCUACCCCGGGGAUAACAGGCUUAUCUCCCCCAAGAGUCCACAUCGACGGGGAGGUUUGGCACCUCGAUGUCGGCUCAUCGCAUCCUGGGGCUGUAGUCGGUCCCAAGGGUUGGGCUGUUCGCCCAUUAAAGCGGUACGCGAGCUGGGUUCAGAACGUCGUGAGACAGUUCGGUCCCUAUCCGUCGUGGGCGUAGGAAAUUUGAGAGGAGCUGUCCUUAGUACGAGAGGACCGGGAUGGACGCACCGCUGGUGUACCAGUUGUUCUGCCAAGGGCAUAGCUGGGUAGCUAUGUGCGGAAGGGAUAAGUGCUGAAAGCAUCUAAGCAUGAAGCCCCCCUCAAGAUGAGAUUUCCCAUAGCGUAAGCUAGUAAGAUCCCUGAAAGAUGAUCAGGUUGAUAGGUUCGAGGUGGAAGCAUGGUGACAUGUGGAGCUGACGAAUACUAAUAGAUCGAGGACUUAACCAUAUA